rnacentral:rRNA from 1 species
AGUCACUGACAUUAGAUACCCGUGUAGUCCAGGGUGUAAACGCUGCAGACUUGGUGUUGGAGGCCCUUUGGGGGCAUUCAGUGCCGGAGAGAAGUUGUUAAGUCUGCUACUUGGGAGUACGUCCGCAAGGAUGAAACUUAAAGGAAUUGGCGGGGGAGCACCGCAACGGGAGGAGCGUGCGGUUUAAUUGGAUUCAACACCGGAAAACUCACCAGGGGAGACUGUUACAUGAAACCCAGACUAAUGAUCUUGGUUGAUUUUCAG